CCUACGGGCGGCAGCAGUGGGGAAUAUUGCACAAUGGGGGAAACCCUGAUGCAGCGACGCCGCGUGAGCGAAGAAGUAUUUCGGUAUGUAAAGCUCUAUCAGCAGGGAAGAAAAUGACGGUACCUGAGUACGAAGCUCCGGCUAAAUACAUGCCAGCGGCCGCGGUAAUACGGAUGGAGCAAGCGUUAUCCGGAUUUACUGGGCGUAAAGGGAGCGUAUGCGGCCUGCCAAGUCUGAUGUGAAAUACCGGGGCCCAACCCCGGGGCUGCAUUGGAAACUGGCAGGCUGGAGUGCCGGAGAGGCAGGCGGAAUUCGUAGUGUAGCGGUGAAAUGCGUAGAUAUUAGGAGGAACACCAGUGGCGAAGGCGGCCUGCUGGACGGUGACUGACGCUGAGGCUGGAAAGCGUGGGGAGCAAACAGGAUUAGAUACCCUGGUAGUC
rnacentral:rRNA from 1 species